UACGGAGGGUGCAAGCGUUGUUCGGAAUCAUUGGGCGUAAAGCGCGCGCAGGCGGCCGUUUAAGUCUCACUGUGAAAGCCCGCGGCUCAACCGCGGGAGGCCAGGGGAUACUGGACGGCUGGGGACAGGUAGAGGCGAGCGGAAUUCCGGGUGUAGCGGUGGAAUGCGUAGAGAUCCGGAAGAACACCAGAGGCGACGGCGGCUCGCUGGACCUGUUCUGACGCUGAGGCGCUAAAUCGUGGGGAGCGAACAGG
rnacentral:misc_RNA from 1 species